rnacentral:rRNA from 1 species
UACGUAGGGCGCGAGCGUUGUCCGGAAUUAUUGGGCGUAAAGGGCUCGUAGGCGGUUUGUCACGUCGGGAGUGAAAACUCAGGGCUCAACCCUGAGCCUGCUUCCGAUACGGGCAGACUAGAGGUAUGCAGGGGAGAACGGAAUUCCUGGUGUAGCGGUGAAAUGCGCAGAUAUCAGGAGGAACACCGGUGGCGAAGGCGGUUCUCUGGGCAUUACCUGACGCUGAGGAGCGAAAGUGUGGGAAGCGAACAGG